CAGACGACGGAAAGUUUUUUUGCACGCAGCCCUUCCAGCUUGUCCUUCCCUCGUCGGCUCCGUGGCGUCCACGGUGAGGCGCCCCCCGCCGAGACCCCCGGCGGCCCAGUGGGGAGGAGCCGGGCAGGGUUUUCCCUCUACGAGCAUCCCAAGCCAGGAGGGACCCUGGCAAUGACCUCUCCUCCCAGCCACCGUUCCCUUCUCCCUUUCUUUCCUGUCACGGUGGACCUUGGGACCGUGGAGGAUUCCGCGGAUGCCUUUGGGAGCUGAGACCCAUGGGUAGAUGGAAGUGGUUCUAAAAUGCAGAGAGCUGUGAUAACACAAGGGAGUCAUGUCAACCUUGUCUCAUGCACCAGCUGAACUCGGUGACACUAGCAACUUGGAUCCCGACAGGCGGGGUGUUAUGACUGCACCAUCAGGGCUGGACCCCACUGCUCUGAAGGUGCUUCGUGUGCAGUGUGGGGCAGCUUGACCUGAGCGAAAGCAGCAAAUGCGCCUCGAGUUGGAACCCCAGCCAGAGUCUUCUGUGCUCUAAAGGACUUCAGAGCUGCGGAGAAAAGUGAAUGGAAGCCAAGAGAUGGAAACAACUACAGCAUGCAUCAACAGCCUCAGAGAGCUGUUUGCUGGAAAAACGUAUGAAGAUUUUGACUUGGUGGGAAGCAGACCUCCCCACCACAGAAAGAAGGUGGCUAUAUCCACGCUCUUUUCUCCAGCCCCUCUUUGUGUCUCCUGUCUCCCAACACCUGAAGAGCCGGCUCCAGGCGAAGCCAGAGAAAGCUAUUUGCAGAGUGUAUGGGAGGAAAAGGAACAGAGACAGGCCCCUGCUAAGCUAUGGAGCUCAGUUUUGACUCCUGCAAGCAGAAAAGGGUUGGUGCAUGUCCCCAUGUACUUGUAUUUGGUCCCAUCGAUUGAGAUCUUGGGGAUGAAAAACUGCUGUGAGUUCAGUAAUGUUUUUAAGUAACUACCUAUGUAUUCUAUUGAUUACAAUAGGGUCCACGUCAAGUUCAAAAAUAGUAGUAAAAAUCUG
rnacentral:lncRNA from 1 species